UACGGAGGGUGCAAGCGUUGUUCGGAAUUAUUGGGCGUAAAGCGCGCGCAGGCGGCUCUGCAAAUCCAGGGGUGAAAUGCCGGAGCUCAACUCCGAGCAUGCCCCGGAUACUGCGGAGCUGGAGACACGUAGAGGCAAGCGGAAUUCCGGGUGUAGCGGUGGAAUGCGUAGAGAUCCGGAAGAACACCGGAGGCGAAGGCGGCUUGCUGGGCGUGAUCUGACGCUGAGGCGCGAAAGCGUGGGGAGCGAACAGG
rnacentral:rRNA from 1 species